UCGUUCAAAAUAAAAAAAAAAAAUGUGUCAACGAUCUUGAUAGUCAUUAUAAAUAUCAAGUUGAGCCUCUAUAUCGAUUCAAAGAGUCUAUUUGUUAUCAAACUCACAUUUCAAAUAAAAGUAAUUUAUUACGAAGUAAGAACUCUCAACAUAGUCAUUUUUCUAAUCUCAAUAAAAGCUCCAUCAAAGUUAAGAGCCAUUAAAAUUAAAAUGUCAUCCAUACAUGCUCUCUCUCUUCACCCUGUUUCAUGGUCUCACUUGGUAUAGCAGUAUGUGCUAGAUAGGAUUGGCAAAAGACUAUCUAGAAAGAGCCAACGCCGAGUCCGCUUUGGACCUCUUGGAAUCAAUAUACUUUCUUAUUUUAUGGUAUUUAUAGGUACUUAAAAAGUGUUUUUCAUGAUUUUUUUUCCUCAGUACAAGUUCUUUGCCAUUAGAGUAUUCAUGUAGUUUAAAAAUUUUACCGUCUUUGAAAAUUUUUGAUGACGAUAAAAUUGUUCUUCUCCGAUCGAAGGUCAUAGAUUUGGGUUGUAAAAACAGUAUCUUUACAAAGCAAGAUCUUGGAUAAGAAGCAGCAACUUGGUAAAGACAAAGGAGUUGUUGCCUCGGCAAAUGUCUUUAGCUACUGUAUGGUGAUUGAUGUGCUCUUGGAGAGUGGCCGUUUGUCAGAUGCGUUGAACUUGUUUGAUGAAAUGCCUGAUAGAGAUGUGACUCAUGUGGCAUGAGUGACUUUAAAUUCCUUGCUCCCAAGUUGUAAUGUUAUCUCAUUCCUGCAGGUGGGCUUGUUCUUCCCAACAUUUAUUCAAUGUCUUCUGUGGAAACUUACCCUAGUCAGCUGGUUGAGAAAUUGCUUAACCUUCCUACUCAUUUAGGUUUUCUUGCACGUUGUCGGGAUAAGGUACCUCAAAAUAAUGUCAUGGUUUAUACAAGGCCAAUGCACAGGUGGUUGUUGGGCCUUUCUCCUUUGAACUGAACUCAGUAAACUAUGACGUGAUUGACAAACCACAUCAAGGUACCAAGCCAGGCAAGGCUGUUCUUGCUAUGUGUUUUAGAGCUUUACUUUAAAGCAGGUGUCCGUUAGUGUGCCUAAGAGAUGGCAAUGGCAAGGGCAAAACUUUACAUGGUAGCUAGCCAGUUUAUGGAAUUUAAAAGCUACUGCUACCUUCAUCUAGUUUAGACUGAUUAAUAAGUCUUUGCACAUCUCAUCAUAUGUACGCAAUCUCACCAAGAAAACUGAUUGUAAUAUUCAAGUUUAAUUCUUUCUUAUAUAUAUUUUUAAAGACAUCGAAUGCAGUAAUCACUUUACUACGAUUUUGGUGAUUAAAGAAAUAAUCACCUAGAAUGGAUGACGAUGCGAAAACAAAGUGGCUUGAUGUAUAUCCUUAAGUGGUAAGAUCACACUUUUGGGUUAUGUCUCAUGCUAUAUCUGUAUGUGCUGAAAUGUGCUAAUGAAAAAUUAAAUAGCUAGACUAGACAGGAAGAGCUUCACUCUUUCUCAUGCUCUCCCUUUUGCUUCUCUAUCCUUUCAGUUUCUGCUAUUAACCUCUGCUCGAAGAAGAGUUGAGAUACCAGACCCACCAAGAUGACGCCAAGAACCGCAACCUUUUGCCAUCCAGCUGAGGGAGAUAGCAAGGAAUCAACAAUGCCAAUAGCUAUCAAGCCGAUCAACACAAGGCUUCGUCUCCCUCAAAUUUUUGAAGAACAGGCCUUCAUUCCGGUCUUUGUCAAUCUGACCUUCGAACUCUGCCAACAUCUUCUCAUUCUUCUCAAUCUCAACUUUGUUCGACUCUGCGGACUCCUCGAAUGCUUGCAUCCGGCUCUCUAUAUUCUCCAUUAUCUGCUAAGCACAAACAAACCCUGGCACUGGCUUCAUCAAGUCCUUUGAGGGCAUCUUCUCCAAUCUGGUCGAACUCGGCGUUGGCUUCUUCGGCGAACUGCGUUAAAUAGGCGGAUCGCUCGUCUAAGUAGUCGGUGAGGCGGACUUUCUGGGU